rnacentral:rRNA from 1 species
GGUUAAGCGACUAAGCGUACACGGUGGAUGCCCUGGCAGUCAGAGGCGAUGAAGGACGUGCUAAUCUGCGAAAAGCGUCGGUAAGGUGAUAUGAACCGUUACAGCCGGCGAUGUCCGAAUGGGGAAACCCAGUG